UCCGCUGCCUCCUCUUUCCCCGGCCUCCCCCAAUCCCCGCCUUCUCUCCUCCUCCUCAAUCCGUCGCCUCUCCCCCAAGCCGCCGCCCUCUCUCCUCCCCGUCUUUGGCCCCGCCCUCGCCAACUCCCGACGCUCCGCCGAGUGGAGAACCAGGAAGGAGGAGGGACGUGAAGUGGAGAAGAGGGGGUGCGCUAGAGAAGGAGCCAAGCCCGCAGGAGAGCACGGAGUGCCGGCGCGCCAUGCCCGCCGCAGCUGCUCGUGGAGCUCCGGCAUGUGCUGCACCAUGGAGGCGCUCGUGGAGGUGCUCUCGCCUUCGGAACCACCUCGAUCCGCGUCUGGAACCAUCCUGCUCGUCUCCAACUUUUCCAGCUCACUGAUGAGGACCUCGUCUCGGCCUCCCUACCAGCCCCAUCCGGUUUGAUGUCGAGGAGGUUCGGUUCCUACACCAAUGGUUACAGCGGGCUCUGCUGCAGGAAGCAGGGUCUAAUGAUGUACAAUUUUGCAGCUGCUGGUUUAGUUGUUCAAAUGGGAGCUUCGUAGGGGCAUGCCCUCAAUUCCAUUACCUUUCUAGAUUGUUGUUUCGUUGUUGAUGCAAUACUCAGUUUGGUGGUUUCCUUUUGUUUUUGCUGCAGGGAGUGGAAGUUUUAGAAUGCUGCGGACAGGUUGAGAGCAAUAGAUGUUUUUUAAGUCCUAGGACAAUUUGAUUUUGGGAGGACAAAGGUCAGGCAAGGAUGAGAAUGGGAUACCAGAUUACAACGAUGGAGGCUCGGACAUGGAUCUGCUCAUGCUCUCAGCGGGAAUACUGGAUGUUCUCGAAGCUUUGCCAUACACACGUGCUACUUUUGGCACUUGUGUGGGCUCCAGUUUGUGUCAAUGCAAUUUGCAUCUAUCAGCGGAUUAUGUCGAUCAGGUUUGGUUAUUGGCAUACAGGUAUGUUUGUGUAUGGAUGUCACAAAAUUGUUAUGCAGAAAAUAAGAGUGUAGUACAUUUCAGAGAUACAAGUGAUCUUGUUCAGUUUAGUCAGAGCACAUGCAAACAAGUAGUUCCGGGUGGAGGCCUUCCACUUGCUUUUGCUAGCUAUAUGAAAUAGACUGAACCUGAACCUAACUACGAUUGGAUGUCUAAGCUGAAUUGUUGCAUCCGUAGACAUGGAAUUAUGGAUCAAUUUUAGCUCUCAAGAACUGCAUACUUAUGGUCCUAUGUAAUCCCAAUUUAUUCAGGCCAGCAUCCCAAAAGUUCACUAAUGAACAAAGCAACAUCACACAGAAUCUAAGUUUUAGGCCAGGUUACUAAUCAAUCUUUUCCCUUCUCUCUAUUUAAUUUUAACAUUGCAUAAUUAUUUAUUCCCUGUUUGUAGCUUACACUGAAAUCUAAGCUCGUGUGCAUGUAUGUAUUAUGAACCAGCCCUGUCCAUUGACUUACUGGAUACAUAAGUCUCUCCAUUGCUGUUGUCGGAUGGGUUUACAUUUGCUGUUACUUUCUGUCUUGGUUAGGAACCAGGUUGUUUAAUGCACCAAUGCUGCUUUCUGAUGACGACGGCAAUGCCAAACGCACCAUCACCUGAGGUAGUUCUGUCUAUAUCUCAUUUACUUAUCAUGAUAUGUACCUAGAAGUUAUUCAUAUUGGUUUCUUAGGACCGCCUUCAAGAGCAUGCUGAAGAAUCACAAUAAAAACUCCCCAAUGAUAGUGCCACUCCAUGAGACAUCCAUAUCAAACUGAAACUCAAUUUCCUCGCAUUAGCCAAAGCAUGCCAUCACAUAUUUUUUGCUGUUGUUUUGGAACUAUUUCAGUAUGGGUGAGUUCUUUUUUUUAAGUGUACUCUAUAUGUUGGUGACUUAUUUUUUUAGUUGAUUGUUCUUUUACAAAAUUGAGCAAAAAGAAAAGAACAAAGAAAAAAUUGUUUAGCUAGAUAGGCAAAGCCGCUGAUGUUUACUUGUUGUUUGCUGUAGACCCUUGAUGGGCCAUGCUUUUCUCUGUUUUUUGCGUUCCUGGACUGUAAGAAAUCUUGUGGAUGUGCUCUCUAUUUUCCUGUUACUUUCUCUGCCACUCACAUUUAAAUUUGCUAAUAUAUUAGUUUUCCAACAUGACGUAUACAUAUCCAAGGAUGAAGUGAAGAAGAAGAAUUGGGGUUGUCAAUUGUGUAUUUGCAAUUGUACAGAUCCGAGGUGCUAUACUUAUCUGCAUUUAAAUUUGCUUUUUCUUGGAACUAUUGGCAUGUAGAGGAGGCUGUGUUUUAUUUGGUGGUCCGUUAGGCAUAUAAGUAACUGGUUUUGCCUUUUUCACAAAACAAGCUGAGCUUCUGGUGUAUAUGGGCCCAGCUCCAUGUUUUUAUUGCCAAAAAAAUAAUUAAGUACCAUGUUAAAUGUGCUGGUUCACAUGCCAAUUGGUCCUGUUCUUGAGGCCUUAAUAUCCUAUCUGGAUAUUCCUUUUAUGACAACUCAUAGGUCUAUGUGAUUGGCGGGGAAGGAACCAUGAGAGGAGCAGUGGCGAUAUUCAAAGAGAUUAAACGGCAUGGUUUGAGGAUAUCCAUUACAUGGAUCCCCAAAACCGUGGACAUCGGCAUCAUAGACAGGUCGUUUGUGUUCCAAACUGCAGUGGAGAUUACUCAGCAUGCGAUCAACCGGCACAUGUGGAGGCUGUGAGCGCUGUGAAUGGCAUUGGUCUUGUCAAACUUACAGGAAGGAGCACAUGACACAUUACUCUUCAUGCCACCCUGAGCAGCCGAGAUGUUGACUGCUGUGAAUCUUGAGAUUGAUUUCCACGUUGAAGGGAAGGGAAGCCUGUUUGAGUUCCUGUAUGAACGGAUAAAGAAGAAGGGGCAUGUUGUGGUCGUUGUUGCUGAAGGUGCUGAUCAGGAGUUAAUACCCCGGACUGAUGACCCAACAGAGUUAACUUAAUCUGAACUUCCUCUGUUUCCGCUAUAUAUCCCUAUUUUUCUGAACUUAACAACCGAACAGCAUUAUAUAUUAGAUUAGCACACAAGUGAACUGGAAAUCAUUUUAUUCAGAUUGUUGGUACCCUCAGUGUAAAAUUAUUCCUUAUUGGUUGGGGAUUUGGAGACGUAGUAUCUGGUUGAUGAAGGAUUUUUAUCUCCUAAGCUUCACACAUUCUCUUCCAUCCAACACAACCGGCACAGUCAAGUGGUGUAGUAGUUGAUGGUCGACAGCUAACAUCAAGGCACCGCCUUAAUUUAGGCGAAAAGACCACAACUCUUCCAUCUACACCAGGUUUGUUGGUUUCAGCCCUGGUAUAUUUAGUUACAACCAAGAAAUUAUUUAUUAAGGAGCUUUGGUUGUAACUGAAAUUCACUGCAAAACUGCAUAUGGAAACAUUCAAUAUUUUUCUCUCUUAACUCACCUCAAAGUAAAGGACUUCUAGAGAUAAAAUUAUUGAUUGGUAGGGCCUCGGUUUAUUAACUAUUAUAUAUUUUUAGAAGCUGAAUGCCAAAUCAUAUGUUGUUUCUUCUUUGGGAUGAAACAAAUCAUACGUGUGGCAUCGACUAAGACCGUAGUCUGAUCAUACAAGGCCUUAUUGAUUGCUGAUUCUACUUCCAUAGUCUGAUAUAUUCGAGGUGCAGCCAAGAUCAGGCGAGAGGACGAUGUUUUGGUUGUUUCGACAGAAAAUCCUACUGGCUGAAGCUCAAAGACUGAAGCCCCUAUCCCAGUGUUAAAAACUUCAAUCAACCCGUAGUUAAAGCUGGAAUCAAGUAGAGCAGUGGCUACUCCGAAAACUCUUGUUCUGAUCAGAUUGGCUAGGAUUCAUAUCAUCCCUUUCUAGCUAUGACAGAUGGUAUACUGCAUACUAAUGAGGAUAGAUGAUUUAUGUUGAUGAAAUAUUUUAGAUAGUGACACCGAAGUGUUAUUCUA